rnacentral:rRNA from 1 species
CAAUAGCGUAUAUUAAAGUUGUUGCAGUCAAAAAGCUCGUAGUUGGAUUUCUGGUAGGAGCGACCGUGCCGAACUUGAUUGUUCGAGUAUUGUGUUGUCUUCAGCCAUCCUCGUGGAGAACUUUUCUAACAUUAACUUGUUGGGAUUGGGACCCGCGUCGUUUACUGUGAAAAAAUUAGAGUGUUUAAAGCAGGCAUUAGCUUGAAUACAUUAGCAUGGAAUAAUAAGAUAGGACUUUGGUACUAUUUUGUUGGUUUGCAUACCAAAUUAAUGAUCAACAGGAACAGUUUGAGGAUAUUCGUAUGAACAUGUCAGAGGUGAAAUUCUUGGAUUUUGAUCAGACGAACUACUGCGAAAGCAUUUAUCAAGGAUGUUUUCAUUAA